rnacentral:ncRNA from 1 species
GCGAGCCGUAUGCGGGAGAACCGCACGUACGGUUCGGAGGGAGGUGAGGCGCGAGCCUUCCCCAGC